rnacentral:lncRNA from 1 species
GAUCGUGCGUAUUGUCUUAGAAGCAACUUGGAAAUGUCAAAGAUGAAACUGGCAUAGGAUGUUAAAAGUCAGUCUCUUGAAAGCAACGUUUAAGGCAAGGAGAUGGCUAGGGUGGACGUAGGCGAGAUAUGAAAAACGCAUCGCAUGUGGGAGGAGGGCUGGAAAGAUGCUGGAACUUCUUCGUUACGUUUCUUUCAGAAUGCUCCAAUCAUCGUUGCUUCUUCUGAUCGAUCGAUGAAAUUUCAUUGAGGACUGGGCCGUUAAUACGUCAAGUAUGGUUCGUAAGUAAACUUUGUGAAUAUGUAAAAAA